rnacentral:rRNA from 1 species
GUCCACGCCGUAAACGAUGAGUGCUAGGUGCUGUGGGUAUUGACCCCCGCGGUGCCGCAGCCAACGCGUUAAGCACUCCGCCUGGGGAGUACGGCCGCAAGGCUAAAACUCAAAGGAAUUGACGGGGGCCCGCACAAGCGGUGGAGCAUGUGGUUCAAUUCGACGCAACGCGCAGAACCUUACCUGGGUUAAAUCCACCAGAAUCUUGUAGAGAUAUAGGAGUGCCCUUCGGGGAACUGGUGAGAAGGUGCUGCAUGGCUGUCGU